rnacentral:lncRNA from 1 species
GUGGCUGUUGUUCCUAAUUACUCUACUGGUAAUGACGAUUAUUUUUGGUCCGGUUUUUUCGUUCGGUGCUAUUUUUAUUACUAUGAUGGACACAUUUCAAACAGAUCGAGCUGAAACUGCCGCUGUACAGUCAAUUGUCAUAGGAAUGACAUUUUCGUUUGGUGUUAUCAGCGGAGCCUUAAUUGGAAGGUUUGGUCCAACAAUGAUGAUAUUCGUGGCAAGUGUGGUUGUUCCUCUUGGAUUUGGUAUAUCAUAUUUUGCAAAACACAUCAUUUACCUCUACAUUAGUAUAGGCAUAGUCACAUGGUGUUGGGAACUCUUUGGUAUUUUCCAGCUGCAUUGUGAUAGUGGAGCGAGUGUUUGAGGGGCCAAAGAGGUUAUUAUGUUUGGCUGUGCUGAACACUUCAACUGUGGUAACCGCCAUUUUCUACCCAUAUUUUAUAAAAUGGUUGACAGAAAUGUACAGGUCUGAAUGGAAUGUUUCUAAUACUUGCUGGGAUCAGCUUAAAUAUCUUUGUUCUUUUCACAAUGUGUUGGACAAAUCGUGUUGCUGAAAAAAAUGUUCAAAGUACAAAAGCAGAACUCGAUGAUUGUCCUGAAAGUUCAAGAAAAGGGUGUAAUUCGUUAAUCGACAUAAUGUUUGAUUGCUUUGCACAUGCUAAUAAACUGUUUCACAGUGCCUUAUGCGCUUGUACUUAUUGCAAGUAGUUUAUCCCUUGCAUCACUAGAUGGAUAUGUAGGAGUAAUGUUUGACAUCGCUUUAUGGAAAAAAAUGACAAGUUCACAAGGAUACAUUACUUUUGUAGUGUAUUAUUCGUGCACCGCUGUUUCUUGUGUAGCGGCAGGAAUUCUCAAACAAAAGAAGGGAGUGAACUCCUUGAUUUAUCCAAUUCUUUCUACGUUUUGCGGAUGUUGUGGUCAACUGCUCAUACUUUCUACAUCAAAAUAUUCCGUAUAUAUGAUCGGGACAGCUCUCACUGGAAUGACAUACGGAGGUGUUAUAGCUUCUUCGUAUACCGUUAUUGUGCAAAUGGUCAGCCAAGAGCAAGUACCUGUGGCAACUGGACUUUUUACAACAUUAGGAAGGACUAGUUGCACUCGGAGUUGGACCAUUGUAUGGUAAUAUCCGAGAUAUUUCUGGUAGCUACAGGAGUGUCCUUGUGACAGUUACAGUGUGUACAAGCACUGUCUUCUGCUCUUUUUACCCUUGCCUUGAUAACUAACAGACGGCGAAAGAAAAGAUUACAGCCUAACAGCUCAAGUGAGAUAAUCGCUUCAACAAGACUGUAGACAAAAGAUAGAUAUCACAGUAAGACAAUAACAUAGUGAUCAAUGUACAAAUUAUGAUUCAGAAAAGCCGUAGAAAAAGGACAACGUGGAAACGAAGAACAGAAAUAGGACAUACAGAAAGGAGGAACACCGUAGCAACCACGUCUCCUCCCAAUCCACUUUUUUCUGGGAACGGUUCGAGGCAAAACCAUCACUUUGCUACUUCCAAUUAGCGUACUGAUGCCAAGCAUAACUCCUUUAAUGACAAUCACCAAACCAAAUUUAUGUUCUAAACUAUAAAACAGUGUAAAGUGAAAUUACUUUAUGGUAGUAGAUAUAUUGCCUAUGUUUCAAUUUUUAUAUUAUGUUCAAUGAUCGGACACAUAUGCGUUUAGUUGUUUAUAUUUCUGUUCGAUUAUCGCAUACAAAUAAUUAUUUUCAUGUUACAUUUGUUUGAUGAUAAACACAAAAUAUAUUUGAUUAUCGCACAUGUCUGUUUUUAAGUAUUUAUAUGUCCAUUAAUCGAAUUACUGUAUAUAUUCGUUCAAUAAUCGAAGACCGAUUUGGUACAAACUUCUAAAUGUGUGUCCAAUAAUCGAAAACUUAAUAAUGCAUGCUACUGCAUGUGUCCAAUUAUUGAAAAUAAUAUAAAAAUCGAACAUCGACACAAAUCUACGGCCGUAUUACUUCACAUCAGAAAAAUACCGUUACAAUUAGGGACACACUGAAAAGCGAGGAUGUUCUUAAAUAAAUAAAUAAUAUGUUUUUUUUUUUAUUUUUCAAAUAACUCUUCUCCAUAU